CCACACAAGAGCUGCUUUGCCUUUCUAAGGCAGUGCAGUCUCAAGCCUGCAUGUCAACUCCUCUGCUUGGGUUCUCUGUGUACUCACUUUCAGGCUAUACAAGCUGAAGUAGAAGCAACUCUUCAUUGGUUCAUGUAAAAGUCUCCUGGGAGUAAAACAAGAAUUCAAGUAAGCUGUCAUAAAUCAAAGAAUUUUAACAAAUUAACUGAAGGUGUCUAAAUGUGACAAAAUCUAAAGAAGGUAAAGAUUGAAUAGAAUCCUGAAAUGUUUCCAGAUUCCUGUAAUUCCAGAAAGGAAGACUAAAUUGGCUACAUCUUUUCCUGGAUGCCAGGUGCUGAGACUGCUAUGAUGACUUAGAAGCAGUUUCUGUCCUGAAGAGGUUGGCAGUCUGGUAUAAAACACACAGAAGUAAAGGAUAAGAUGCAACACAGUGAGCAAGGGGAAAGAAGAAGAAAGUGGUGGUGAUGGUGACUACAAAAAGGCUGAUUAGUGAUGAAGCAAAUGAAGUUUGCAUGAUGCCUUCCAGAAGGGGUCCUAGCAAGAACAUCCAGUACUUGAAUGGGAGUUAACCUAAAACCAUGAAGCAAGCUUAACAGCAUGAGUCACUCAGAAUCAAUAUAAACUCUACAAGCAACUUAACUUCAGUGGAAAUCAAGAAACACACAGACUUUUAAGCAAAGAACUCUGACAAUCAGUCAUGAUACCUUGACAGCAAAAGGAGAUGAGCUAAAUAAGCAGCUUAAAGAGUAGUGUUUAAAAGCCUUCAAGCUUAAGAAACAAUUAUAUUCUGUGACAUUUUUUGAAAGAAGAUUAGAAGAGGUAAUCUCCCAAAGAGUUUUCUGCCGAUGCUUUGAUUUGAAUUUCCAACCUCCAGAACUACAAGUAAAGUUUUUCUGUUAUUUACCACUUCA